rnacentral:rRNA from 1 species
GACAGAGGUGCCGAGCGUUAGGCGGAAUCACUGGUCUUAAAGCGUGUGUAGGCGGACUUCUAAGUACCUUGUGAAAUCCCACGGCUCAACCGUGGAACUGCUUGGUAUACUGGUUGUCUUGAGCCACUUAGGGGCAGUCGGAACAGACGGUGGAGCGGUGAAAUGCGUAGAUAUCGGGAGGAACACCGGUGGCGAAGGCGGCCCCCUGGUUGGAUACUGACGCUGAGACGCGAAAGCGUGGGGAGCAAACAGC